rnacentral:rRNA from 1 species
GAUCAUGGCUUAGGACGAACGCUGGCGGCGUGCCUAACACAUGCAAGUCGAACGGAGAUAAAGAUUUCGGUUUUUAUCUUAGUGGCGCACGGGUGAGUAACACGUGAAUAACCUGACCCAAAGAGGGGGGAUAACACCUGGAAACAGGUGCUAAUACCGCAUAAGACCACAAUGUCGCAUGACGAAGGGGUCAAAGAAAAUCGCUUUGGGAGGGGUUCGCGUCCCAUUAGGUAGUAGGCGGGGUAACGGCCCACCUAGCCGACGAUGGGUAG